GGGAGAGUAUCAUGGUUACAGCUGGAUCACCUAAGGCAGAGAGGGAAGGAACCAACAGGUAUAUGAAGAAGACUGUAUUUCCUCCUCAGGAAGAAAAAAUCACCUAUAAUGAAUUACAACAGGAGAAAUUCAGACAUCCAUGCCAUGGGUGCUAAUGCAUUUUUAGAAGCUGAAAAGAUCCAUGGCUAUAACUGCUACCAAGCUCUGGGCUGCAGUAGUGUAUCAUCCAUAACGCAAAUAAGGUGCCUAAACCCUAUAUUGAAGGCUACAGAGAGGACUACAUUGAGACUUGGCAAAGUCCUAUAGAAGUUUUGUUUUCUUAUGGUAAACUAAUACAACAUAUAGCAUUGAUACAAAGGAUGCACUAAAGGAUGGACACAAAUGAAAGAACUGAGACAUGAAUUUGUUCUUAAGAAAAUUAUUCUCCAUUCUUUGAGAAGUCAACUGAAUAGGAUGAAGAAACUGCUCUAUGUUAUCAAGUUUUUAAAUUUUGUAUUUACUUAUUUACUUUUGUUGUUACUUAAAUCAACUUUAAAAUAAAAUAAAAUUUAUAUUUGAGUACAAAAU
ensembl:lncRNA LINC01609 long intergenic non-protein coding RNA 1609